UGGGGAAUAUUGGGCAAUGGGCGAAAGCCUGACCCAGCGACGCCAUGUGGGUGAUGAAGGCCUUCGGGUCGUAAAGCCCUGUUAAGUGGGAAGAAGAGUUCGAGGGUGAAUAAUCCUUGGACUUUGACGGUACCACUGGAGGAAGCACCGGCUAACUCCGUGCCAGCAGCCGCGGUAAUACGGAGGGUGCAAGCGUUGUUCGGAAUUACUGGGCGUAAAGGGCGCGUAGGCGGUGAUGUAAGUCAGACGUGAAAUACUUCGGCUCAACCGGAGAACUGCGUCUGAUACUGCAACACUAGAGUACAGAAGAGGGAAACGGAAUUCCAGGUGUAGAGGUGAAAUUCGUAGAUAUCUGGAGGAACACCGGUGGCGAAGGCGGUUUCCUGGUCUGAUACUGACGCUGAGGCGCGAAAGCGUGGGGAGCAAACAGG
rnacentral:rRNA from 1 species